rnacentral:rRNA from 1 species
UGGGGAAUAUUGGGCAAUGGGCGCAAGCCUGACCCAGCAACGCCGCGUGAAGGAAGAAGGCUUUCGGGUUGUAAACUUCUUUUGUCAGGGACGAGUAGAAGACGGUACCUGACGAAUAAGCCACGGCUAACUACGUGCCAGCAGCCGCGGUAAUACGUAGGUGGCAAGCGUUGUCCGGAUUUACUGGGUGUAAAGGGCGUGUAGCCGGGAGGGCAAGUCAGAUGUGAAAUCCACGGGCUCAACUCGUGAACUGCAUUUGAAACUACUCUUCUUGAGUAUCGGAGAGGCAAUCGGAAUUCCUAGUGUAGCGGUGAAAUGCGUAGAUAUUAGGAGGAACACCAGUGGCGAAGGCGGAUUGCUGGACGACAACUGACGGUGAGGCGCGAAAGCGUGGGGAGCAAACAGGAUUAGAUACCCCUGGUAGUCCACGCUGUAAACGAUGAAUACUAGGUGUGCGGGGACUGACCCCCUGCGUGCCGCAGCUAACGCAAUAAGUAUUCCACCUGGGGAGUACGAUCGCAAGGUUGAAACUCAAAGGAAUUGACGGGGGCCCGCACAAGCGGUGGAUUAUGUGGUUUAAUUCGAAGCAACGCGAAGAACCUUACCAGGGCUUGACAUCCUACUAACGAGAUAGAGAUAUGUUAGGUGCCCUUCGGGGAAAGUAGAGACAGGUGGUGCAUGGUUGUCGUCAGCUCGUGUCGUGAGAUGUUGGGUUAAGUCCCGCAACGAGCGCAACCCCUAUUGUUAGUUGCUACGCAAGAGCACUCUAGCGAGACUGCCGUUGACAAAACGGAGGAAGGUGGGGACGACGUCAAAUCAUCAUGCCCCUUAUGUCCUGGGCUACACACGUAAUACAAUGGCGGUCAACAGAGGGAUGCAAAACCGUGAGGUGGAGCGAACCCCUAAAAGCCGUCCCAGUUCAGAUCGUGGGCUGCAACCCGCCUACAUGAAGUCGGAAUCGCUAGUAAUCGCGGAUCAGCAUGCCGCGGUGAAUACGUUCCC